rnacentral:rRNA from 1 species
UACAGAGGGUGCAAGCGUUAAUCGGAAUUACUGGGCGUAAAGCGCACGUAGGCGGUUUUUUAAGUCAGAUGUGAAAGCCCCGGGCUCAACCUGGGAAUUGCAUUUGAAACUGGGGAACUAGAGUGUGUGAGAGGGGGGUAGAAUUCCAAGUGUAGCGGUGAAAUGCGUAGAGAUUUGGAGGAAUACCAGUGGCGAAGGCGGCACCCUGGCACAACACUGACGCUCAGGUGCGAAAGCGUGGGGAGCAAACAGG